rnacentral:tRNA from 1 species
UCCUGCUGUAGCUCAGUGGUAGAGCAUCCGACCGGUAUGCGGAAGGUCAUAGGUUCUCCUGUUGAGGGAA